AGAACAGUCGCAGGUCCGGUAGUGUACUGAGCAUCUCACAUACCUUACUUCAUUUAGUCCUCGCGACGACUCUCUUGGUGAGGAAGGAAGAAUGCAAUGUGAGGGCCUUAAAGAGAUAUUUUCCAUGA
rnacentral:sRNA from 1 species